AAAGAACAGACUGAUAGAGACAGAGUAAGUGGUCCUGCGGACGCUGGGCAGCUACCUCAAUACUCUGAAUAGCUCGGGUAAUCAACAGCAGCAACACCAGAUCUCUGGAGCACCUGGAUCUGCGCAUAAGAUGCAGGGAGUAUGGGGUGAGUCUACCAACUCUGUGAGUAAUAAGCAUGUAUAAAAACCCGAAGAUAAGAAAAUACGAAAUAACACAAAAUGAAGCUAUCUAGUAGUUCUAUACAGUACCUUCCUAAGAGAUAUACAGAUAAAGAAACGGUAAAUUAAUGCAUGAGAUGCAAUGCAAUGCAUGAACAUUGCGAAACGUGCAGCCCGAUCCAUUUGGGCACCCGCGCUCAUUGUGGGGGUUCAGACUCUGGAGGGGCUCGUACAUCCCAAGCGUCAUAUCAUACAGUGCCAAUAGUUACCACUGUUCCCAUAUCAAUACACGGUGCCAAUAGUUACCACAGUUUCCGUUUAAAUACACGGAGCCAAUAGUUAUCACCGUUUCCUUUUAAAUACACGGUGCCAAUCAUUUGAGUUUUCAAAACAUAGAAAUACGACUGAGUUUGCAAAAUAGUGUUAAAAACCUGGACUGAAUUAAAAUAAUAUGAAAACCAUGCUAACUAUGAUAUAUCAAUCCUUGAAGGAUUAUACAAGUCGGUACAAGGCCCCAAACAUGGCAUCAAGCCCAGAUAUCAUCAAUAUAGUAUGUGAAGCAAUCGCCAACAUAGCACAAUUUAUCCCUCGGAUUAGAUCGAGUCUCAAUUUCCAACAUAUACGACCCCGCAUUAACCAUGGAGUGCGUGUCUAACCUCAUAAUAGCGUCAAAAUGUGAUAUACCAGGGUUUCAAACCCCCAGGUCAUCAUCUACACUCAUUACUCACCUCAAGCCGGCCGCAAACUAGUUCGAAAUGCCUUUCCCUCGAGAAUCAACCUUUGCGGAUGCCAAAUAUGAUAAAAACAAAUAGGAAUACGUCACAAUAGCCUAAUGGAACACGACCCAAUCGAAAUAACUUGAAAUACACCCAAAAAUACGAAGUUGGAAAAACCCGAGCCCCGGGCCCACUUCUCGAAAAAUUAUGGAAUUUACAUUUUCAGAAUUCCUAUCUCGCCACGAGUCCGUACAUAUAAAAUUCAUCAAAAUCAGAGUAAUUGCUCCUUCAAUCCCCAAUUUUAAUUCAAAAUUCCAAGCCCUAGUUCUUCCCCAAUUUAAUUUGAUUCUAGAAAUUUAGGGGCUAAUAUCAUAUUUAAAAGAUGUUUUGAGUCCAUAAAACUUACCUCUAUUUAAUUCUCUCAAGUCCCUCUUUAAUUUGCUCCAAACGCUCAUCAAAAUGUCCAACCAUGGAGGAAAUAUGAAUAAGGUCGCGGAAGAGAUGUUUUACACUUAACUAAACUGCCCAGGUGCCUAUCCCUACGCGAAUGCGAAGCACCAUCGCGUUCGCGAUGACCAAAAUUCCACCUCGAAAAACUGCCAUUUGCGAACGCGGCUCAAUGAUCGAACGCGAAGGCCCUGGGUCCUACACCUACGCGAACACGAAGACCAAAUUCCAGGCCUCCCAAAUUUCCUCUACGCGUUCGCGACUCACCCAUGCGAACGCGAAGAGUAUUUCUCUGCAACACCAACAGCUGUGCACCAGCAUUCUUCCAAGUCCAAAAAUAGCCCGGUUUACCCUCCAAAAUCACCCCAAGUCCCCUGGGACCUCAUCCAAAAGCACCAACAUGACCAAUUACCUCAUUAAAACAUUCCCGGGCCUUAAAAUGAAGAGUACUUCUCUGCAACACCAACAGUUGUGCACCAGCUUUCUUCCUAGUCCAAGAAUAGCCCGGUUAACCCUCCAAAAUCACCCCCGAGGCCCUCGAGACCUCAACCAAAGGCACCAACAUGAACAUUUACCUCAUUCAAACUUGAUCGGGCCAUAAAAACACUAACAUUAACAUAAAAAUCACCAAAUUCCUCAAAUUCAAGCCUAAGUCAAACUAGAACUUUUCCAAAUUCGCAUUUGAUCCAAAACCCGACCUAAACAUUUCCGAAUGAUCUGAAAAUUUACACACAUAUCCAAAAUCACCUAACAGAGUCACUGCAACUGUCAGAAUUCCAUUCUGACCCCGGAUAAAAAUCUCACCUAUCAACCAAAAUUUGCCAAAAUUCGAACUUAGCCGAUUCAAGCCUAAUUCUACACCGGACCUCCAAAUUAAGUUCUGAUUUCGCUUCCAAGUCAUAAAUCAUCCCCCGAAACUAGUCGAAUUAUCGAAAAUCCAUUCCGAGCCUUCUAACUUACAAGUCAAUGUCUGGUUGACUUUUUCAAAUUAAGCUUUCCUUAAAGAGACUAUUGGUCUCAUUUCUAACCAAAGUCAACCGAACACACUUCAAACUCGCCAAAUACAUAUAUCAACACACGGGAAAAUAUAAUUCAGGGAUAACGGGGCUGAAAUAAAAAAAACUAUGGGUCGGUCGUCACAAAAAGCAGAUAAAAGUUAAAUAAGUUCUAGAUCAAGCAUGUGAUUUUGAGGAAUAAUAUCUACUAUUAUAUAGAAAUAUUAAGAUCCGUUUUUCUCCCAACUCAAGAAAAGUUACUCUAUAUUGGAACUAGUACUAACAAUAAAAAUAUUCUUAUCCAUUAAAUAAGAAAAUGGAAAGAAAUAUUCAAGUUGAAUAAUUCCCCCUAUUUAAUUAAAUGCAGACACUAGAGUAAUUUCCAGUUCUACAAUUUAUUUGGAACUAGAAAUGAAGCAAGAAUAAUGGCUAAGAGAAGAAAGGAAAAGAAGAAGCUUUCAGAGUAUAUUUUAUGCCUAGCUCUCUCCUUCGAUGAUUUAUG
rnacentral:lncRNA from 1 species